ensembl:misc_RNA Y_RNA Y RNA
GGCUGGUCCAGGUGCAGUGGUGUUUACAGCUAAUUGAUCACAGCCAGUUACAGAUUUCUUUGUUCCUUCCACUCCCACUGCUUCACUUGACUAGCCUAAA